AGGACGAACGCUGGCGGCGUGCUUAACACAUGCAAGUCAAGGGGGCCUAGCAAUAGGCAACCGGCGAACGGGUGCGUAACACGUGAGCAACCUGCCGAUUUGUGGGGAUAGCCGGCCCAACGGCCGGGUAAUACCGCAUAUGAUCUUUUGGGGGAGUCCCUGGGAGAUGAAACUUUCGAGGCAGAUCGAGGGGCUCGCGGCCUAUCAGCUAGUUGGCGGGUAAUGGCCCACCAAGGCAUCGACGGUAGC
rnacentral:rRNA from 1 species